GGGGAGGGAAUGGAACUUCGUGGACAUGGUCACUUUCACUACCUUUGCCUUCUUGCAUUUCCUUUCUCUUCUUGCGCCGUUUUACUUCACCUGGGCUGCGUUUUCGCUGGCCAUUGCUCUCUAUUUUAUCACAGGUGUAGCCGUAACCCUUUCGUUUCAUAGGAAUCUCUCCCACAGAAGCUUCAAGCUUCCCAGAUGGCUUGAGUACUUCUUUGCCUAUUGUGGGGUUCUAUCACUUCAGGUAUAUAUGAUCAAUGAGAUGAUGAGUUUUACAAGUUCUGUGUUUUGUUCCUCAGUAACAUAUAUGUUUUGGGUUCGCAGAGAAGUCCACUUGAUUGGGUGAGCGUACACAGAUCCCACCAUCAGUUUACAGACACAGUGAAAGACCCUCAUAGUCCAGUUAGAGGAUUCUGGUUUAGUCAUAUUGGUUGGACACUCGAUUACCAUGGUCGAAAUGGAAAUGUAAAAUUUUUCUCCCUCUCUCCCUCUGUUGGAGCCCGAAACGUAGCCCUCUUCUCUACUUAUUUCUACGGUGUUAGAUAAUUUAGUCGUGCAUUAACACAUCGUAGAAUUUUCCUAACUAGAAUAUGAUAUAUGUGAAUAAUGGACAAACUGAAGAAUAUACGUAGAAUUUUCCUAAUUAGAAUGUGAUAUAUGUGAAUAAUGGACAAACUGAAGAAUAUAUAUGUUGAGUUUACAGAUUAAACUUUGUUUUUGCAGUAUGGACCACGACUAAGUAAUGUUGGAGAUUUGAAAAGACAACCAUACUACAUAUUUCUUCAUUACACAUACCCUCUUCAUAAUACUGGUCUCGGAGUUCUAUUGUAUUUUAUCGGAGGAAUGCCGUUUUUGGUUUGGGGAAUGGUAAAUCAUACAAGUCCCUAUAUAUUGUCCGUGCCUUGUUGAUUAGUUCCUAAUUUGCUAAACUGCUAUAUUGAUCACCAAAAGAUUUUUCUUAUUAAUUAGAAACAAUUCAACGUUGUCAGCAAAGAUGAUCUCUUGGUGUUUAGUUUCACCGUUUGAAUUAUCGAUCUUAGUAAAACCACUGUGUUUGUUUUUCGAUCUGUUACCUAUCAAAUUUCCCUUCUACAUGCAUAUCAGUUAACUAGCUCUAGUUUCUUUCUUUUGCAGGGAGUGAGGACGGUACUCUUUCUCCAUGCAACAUUUGGAAUAAAUUCAAUUUGCCAUACAUGGGGACAACAAGUAUGGGAAACUGGUGAUUUAUCUAGAAACAAUUGGUAAGAUUUUGUAGGAAUAUAUAGAAUCUCUCAUCGGAAAAUCUAAGCAUUGUAAAUUUACAUACAAAAUCUUGGGAUCUAUUGCAACUUGGUUUUAUGAUAGCUGUCUAGAAUUUUAUCACUGUGACCAUGAUCCACCUUGCAAAUGGCAUUUGAGAUCUUGUUUCUAUAACCACGAGCUGCUAUAUGCAUUCUAGCUAGCUAAUACACAUGUUUAAAUGAGAAAAUGUUAUGUAUUCAUAGGUUGAUUGGAUUGCUGGCACACGGAGAAGGUUGGCAUAACAAUCACCAUGCUUUCCAGCACUCAGCCCGCCACGGCUUGGAAUGGUGGCAAAUUGAUGUUACUUGGUAUGUCAUUAGAUUUCUUGAACUUGUGGGUUUGGCAACAGAUGUGAAGCUUCCAACUGAGACUCAGAAGAAACAAAGAGCUUUAAGCAACAAGAUGAUCCACCAGGGAAAGCAGCAGCAGCAGCUUGAAACAAAUGAAGUUCCAAAAUGGCAAGCUUUGAAAGACUAAGAUCACCAUGGGAUGGAUCUAUAUAUAAGUACUAGGUUUAAAGUAUGCUUGGAUUCUUGAAUUGUUAAGAUAUCGCGAUCAUGGUGUUUGUCUGCUUUGUUCUUUGUGAUAUGUAUGUCAACAAUAAUUAAUUUUGGUGAUAUUACUGUUAAUUUGUCUUUUGAGUGAGAGCAAUAUUACUGUUAUACAUGUGGGUAAUUUAUGAUGUGGAUAUCGUGUAAAAAGUGAAGCUGCUGUAAGGAAUAUUAUCCAUUUGAUGCAUAUGCCAAAUGUGAAUAAAGCUCGUCCUCAUGUUUUAUGUGCAUUUUGUGAAGCUACCUGAAAUGAUGAUGAAAAUUAUUUCGGAAACAGAAUAUGUAGAAUAUAUGGUAGUUCAAUUUAAGUUUGAUAAACAUAGGUAAUGCUAUUUGUGGUACGUACCAAUCCAUCUUUAAUUUUAGUCUCAAUGAUUAUAUAUAACCAUUUAUCAUCUGCAUUUUAGUUGUUGGUUCCAUAAUGAUUAACUAUGACCAUUUAUCAUCUGCAUUUUAGUUGUUGGUCCAAAAUUAUUAUGACCAUUUAUGCCAACAAUUAAGGGAUUUUUAAACUUAAUUGGUUAAGACUUUUUUUUUUUUUUUUUUUUUUUUUUUUUUUUUUGGUAGUAAGCGGGGGACUAACUCGUCCUGGCCCUAAAAUUUUAUUAAUAAGAAAAAGAAGAAAAAAAAAUACAAUAAGGCUGGUACACUAUGCCAAUACCCAGCCUUGAUAUAUGAAAUAAAACAAAGUCUUUAGGCUUACUACAAAACAAAGAAAUCGUACAAAACAAAAACAAAAAAUGAAAAGAGUACAUGAUCAAAGAGAGACUAAGAAAAGUCUUGGACAAGAUGUCUACUUCUAGUAUGGUGUUAAGUUUAGUGUUUACGGCAACUGCUACUUGUAGCUAGACGAAAGUGUUCGAGCCUAAGCAGAGAUGCAGUUUCCGAUCACUUCCAUUGCAAUAAAUGAGAACGUAUUUCUUAUCUCUAACUAACAGCCAAUUCAAACUAACUAACUAACAGAGCCGAUCUUCAAGUAGUCAUGCAUCCAUUCAUGUAUGUCAAACCCUAAUUACAACUGUAACCGUUUUGAACUUUGAGAUAGAGUUAGGUACGUACGUUUAGUGGUGUUGAUUACUUGAUGUGUCGCGGAUACGUGGUUUCUUUCUUUUCUGAAUAUAUGUGCCCUGGAUAUGUAGAUAGCUUAGCCAGUAGAGCUACCUAGCACCAGAGGUCCAGAAGAGCUGUCACCAUUGUCAAUGGUGGCGAUAACCAUUCUUCACCCUUGAGGAUCAGUUCAGUGUGCGCAUAGAGUAGUAGUAACAGACUACUCGAUCGAUCUUAAGGCACGGGCUUGUAAUUUUCUUUGCCUUUUGGAGAUAGCUCUAUCUAGGGCUUGGACAUGGCUAGUGAGUUAGGAAGGACCAUGGAGCUAGACUGGAACCAGAAAAGCUAGCUGUAGUACAGUUUGCUGCAGUUACGUAGUUAGGUACAUUAGAAGAAGAAGAACCAUUCACAUAUAUAGCUAGGUUGGGACUGGUGGUUCAAACCCUAAAGUUUUGAAGUGGUCUGCUCGUCGCAACAGACUUAAGUAAGCAUUCAGAAGAAUAAUGAAUUUCAUCGGGCUUUAUUCAUAAGAGGAAACGCAGCACUUUGAAAUAAACAGUACAAGAUUUGUGGUGUUCAUUACAAGAUUUGUUGCGGGGACGUGGUUUCUUUCUUUCCUUACUAUAUGUCUAGUAAUAUUCAAGAUGCAUGAUAGCAAGCUAAUUAAUUAGCCAACAGAGCUAUCUAGCACAAGCUGAACCAGUGGAGCUAGGACCUCUGUCAAUGGUGGUAGCCAUCCUUGAAGAUCAUUGGGCGAAUGUAGAGUACGUACGUAGUUGUAAACAGACUAGACGGGCUUGUAGUUUUUCUAUUCGAUCUGUUUUAGACGUGGCUAGUUAGACGUACGGGAGGGAGUACCCUUCAUAUAUAUAUAUGGUUCAAUAAUUCAUUCGUUUUGCUUCUUACAGAAAUAGGAAUCUAGACUACUGCUGGAACCAUAAAAAGCUAGCUGUAGUACUUUGCUGCCGAUAAGUAGUUACGUACACAUGAAGAAGAACCAGUCACAAUUAACACGUACCAGAUCGAGCAGAGGGACUUCUACCAAAUUGCCAAUGCUCUAAAUAGCUUCGUGCCUAGAUUGGGACCAAAUAUUGGUGGAUCGAUUCAAACCCUUAAAGCUUUUAAGUAAUCGCAGCAGAAUUAAGUAAGCAUUCACAAGAAGAAUGAAUUGCCUUGUUUCUGGGUCGUGGAUUAAGUAAGCAUUCACGACAUCUCUUAAUUUCUGUAGUAAUUUCCAUAUAGCAAACAUAAGAAUGGCCAAUUCUGAAUUACUUGGGCUUUAAUAUAUAGACUUGGGGCACUUGGCAUGACCCUGAAACUGAAAGGAAAAAUAUAUCGGCCUCAGCCUAAUCGAACCAACAACCAUUGCAGUAGUUGUUUGCGUACUUCUCGAUCUUCACUAUUAAAUAACCCAACAGACUCUUCAAGUAGUCAUGCAUGAAUGCAGAUAUUCAAACCAUAAUCGCAACUGUAACCGUUGUCAACAUGCAUUGAGAUACCUUGGUGGUGUUGAAUCGUUGCGCGUACGUGAUUUCUCUGUUUUCUAAUUAUAUGUAAAGGAUGGAGAUGCGUGAGAGUACCUGCAUUCAUAACUAGCUUAACCAUCGAUCGAUAUCCUUCAUCCUUGGGGAUUCGUAGAGUAGUAGUAUAUAUAAAGAAUACAAGCUAGUCUACGUACUAAUGCCACAAUGUAUAUAACACCCUUUGUUAGUUUUAUUAUCCUCACUGUUUCAGUCGUUUCCCUAAACACUAGAAAUUCUAGUUUAUGUGAAAUGAUCAUAUGAUCGUGAACAACUUUGAUAAAUAUUGUGAACUACGCAUAUGUGAAAUUAAAGGAUCAUAUGUUAACAUCUGAUUUGAUUUGAUACACGUCCUAGUUUAUGGAGUACAAAUUAAAUUCUCUUGACCGUCAAGUUGGUUUUUGCAUACAUGCUAUUUUUGUACGUACGUAGAAAGCCUUUGCGAUUUUCCCUACGUCUCAAACUCUCAAUCAUCCUCCUUAAGGCAGUUGAGGAAGCAGUUGAGUUCCUCAACCACUAACUGGCCAACAUGAGAAAUAACGAGUCACCGUUUCCACCAUGCAUCCCUAUGCAAAAUUAACAAAAUAUAUAACACACUAGCCCCCUGCAACAUUCUUAUUACGUACUGUGUUAUAUCUUGUAUUCUCAUAUACACGUACAGUAGAUAAAAGAAACAGAAUCAGGCAGAUAGAGUUGUGAUAAAAAUGCUUGAUUGGGAUCAUUGGCUGGUGAAAUGGCGAGUGGAUUUUUUGGGGAGGGAAUGGAACUUUGUGGACAUAGCCACUUUCACUAGCCUCGCCUUCUUGCAUUUCCUUUCUCUUCUUGCGCCGUUUUACUUCACCUGGACUGCGUUUUGGCUGGCCAUUGCUCUCUAUUUUAUCUCAGGUGUAGGCGUAACCCUUUCGUUUCAUAGGAAUCUCUCCCACAGAAGCUUCAAGCUUCCCAGAUGGCUUGAGUACUUCUUUGCCU
rnacentral:lncRNA from 1 species